GUAGGCGGAUUAGAAGUAUGGGGUGAAAUCCCAGGGCUCAACCCUGGAACUGCCUCAUAAACUCCUAAUCUAGAGUUCGAGAGAGGUGAGUGGAAUUCCGAGUGUAGAGGUGAAAUUCGUAGAUAUUCGGAGGAACACCAGUGGCGAAGGCGGCUCACUGGCUCGAUACUGAC
rnacentral:rRNA from 1 species